CUACGGGGAGGCAGCAGCAAGGAAUUUUCCCCAAUGGGCGCACGCCUGAGGGAGCAACGCCGCGUGGAGGACGACCGCCUUCGGGUUGUAAACUCCUUUUGGGGGGGAAGAGCAUGACGGUACCCCCCGAAUCAGCCCCGGCUAACUCCGUGCCAGCAGCCGCGGUAAGACGGAGGGGGCAAGCGUUGUCCGGAAUCACUGGGCGUAAAGCGCGUGUAGGCGGUCGUGUGCGUCGGUGCUGAAAGCGCCCGGCUUAACCGGGCGAGGCGUGCCGAUACGAUGCGACUGGAGGCAGGCAGAGGGUGGCGGAAUUCCGGGUGUAGCGGUGAAAUGCGUAGAGAUCCGGAGGAACGCCGGUGGGGCAGCCGGCCACCUGGGCCUGACCUGACGCUGAGACGCGACAGCGUGGGGAGCAAACCGGAUUAGAUACCCGGGUAGUCCACGCCGUAAACGCUGCCGGCUCGGUGACCUGGGCGCCGUUCUCGGCGCCUGGGCGCCUUAGCUCACGCGGUAAGCCGUCCGCCUGGGAGA
rnacentral:rRNA from 1 species